CCUGCUGUUGGUCAUUAGGCCCUGCUGACCGCUGCUGUUGUGUCUCGUUCUUGCUCCAUCCCAGCUCUGCUUCAAGCCUGCUCUCUCUGGGCCGCAGCCCCCACUGGAGCUCCCACCUCUCCUGGCAGGAAGGCCUGUGCACUCGGAUCUGGCUUGCUGAUUCUGAACUGUUCAACAGCUGUAUGGUGUCUGAACAUCAUGCCACAUUGACAGCAGUGAUGAUGGAACGACGAGAGAAAUA
rnacentral:lncRNA from 1 species